rnacentral:rRNA from 1 species
GAUGAACGCUGGCGGCGUGCCUAAUACAUGCAAGUCGAGCGAACAGACGCGGCGCUUGCUCCUCUGACGUUAGCGGCGGACGGGUGAGUAACACGUGUAUCACCUACCUAUCAUACUGGGAUCACUUCGGGACACCGGCGCUUAUCCCGGAUAAUAUCUUGAACCGCAUGGUUCAAUAGUGAAAUACGGUUUUGCUGUCACUUAUCGAUGGAUCCGCGCCGCAUUGGCUAGUUGGUAAGGUAACGGCGUACCAAGGCAACCAUGCGUAGCCGACCUGAGAGGGUGGUCGGCGACACGGGAGCGGAGACGCGGUCCAGACGCCUACGGGAGGCAGCAGUAGGGAAGCGUCCGCAAUGGGCGAAAGCUUGACGGAGUGAGGCGGCGUGAGUGAUGAAGGUCUUCGGAGCGGAAAACUGGGUUAUGAGGGAAGAACAAAUGUGGAAGGAGAUAUGCACGGCGUGACGGUACCUGGUAAGAAAGCCACGGCUAACUACGUG